UACGUAGGGGGCAAGCGUUGUCCGGAUUCAUUGGGCGUAAAGAGCGUGUAGGCGGCCAGGUAGGUCGGUUGUGAAAACUGGAGGCUCAACCUUCAGACGUCGACCGAAACCAUCUGGCUAGAGUCCGGGAGAGGAGAGUGGAAUUCCCAGUGUAGCGGUGAAAUGCGUAGAUAUUGGGAGGAACACCAGCGGCGAAGGCGGCUCACUGGACCGGAACUGACGCUGAGGCGCGAAAGCGUGGGGAGCAAACGGG
rnacentral:rRNA from 1 species